CUGCUGCCUUCCGUAGGAGUCUGGUCCGUGUCUCAGUACCAGUGUGGGGGACCUUCCUCUCAGAACCCCUACGCAUCGUCGCCUUGGUGGGCCGUUACCCCGCCAACAAGCUAAUGCGACGCGUGACCAUCCGUAGCCGGAAUCGCUUCCUUUAAACCCACAGAGAUGCCUCCAUGGGUUGUUACGCGGUAUUAGACGGAAUUUCUUCCGCUUAUCCCCCUGCUACGGGCAGGUUUCAUACGUGUUACUCACCCGUGCGCCGGUCGCCGGCAGG
rnacentral:rRNA from 1 species